rnacentral:lncRNA from 1 species
AGAAAAUUGUGUUUUCUUUGUUCACAGAGCACAAAAAAAUAAAGUAAGCUAUUUGCUUUUCUUUAUUUUUUAUUUAUGUUUUGGUAAACUUUCUAAAACAAAUGUGUUUAAAUAUAAUAUAAUUUUGUUCGAUAUUUGAAGAAGUUUUAUUUUAGUACGUGACAGGAAGCAUUGUGCAUGCUUUAAUUUUGAAAACUUGACGCACUUGCUCCGUCAUGUCUGUGACUUGUCGCUACAUGUCUGAGCCAUGGACGGUGUGGCGGUCCUCACCCAGUGGUGGUGGAGCUUUAAAGGGGCUCCAUUGAGCUCCCUGUGGCCGCCCUGAGUGACCCCACAGCCCGCGGAGCAGAGCGGCCGAUGGAAGCUUCACGGAGGAGCUCCGGGUUAACGCUGAGGAUCAUCGAACAUCUGUGGGCUCACCGGAAGAUGGACUUACAAGUGAUGGAUGCUUACUGCUGGCUGGACUUAGACUCUCUGCUGCUCAGUCUGGAGGACUCGGGGAAACUGCGCGUGGCCUCCGCCUUGGUUUACUCCAUCACGAGGAGGCGGGACGUGGCACGCUUUGACAUGGUGAUGGCGUUCUUAGAGGCCACACGCAGACUUUUCCCUGGUGUGGUGACCGCCAUCAAACACAUGAAGAUCAUGUUCGGCAUCAAAACCCUGGUCAUCAUGUGGAUGCUUAGGGAGGAGGAAAGAAUGAUCGAGACUGUGUUGAAAAUUAUCCAGUUCUUCCCCAACAAACUACCACAAUACCAGCAUCAGUGUAGUCAUCAAGAAAUGUUCCUCAUGAGGAGGAACCAUCGGGACUUUAAGGAUUUUGCACUUGUUCUUGCUUUGGACAAGGACAGACGCCAUCACUACAUUCAGACUCAGCUGCAGGAGCAGUACGGUGAGCGCUAUGCACAGAAAGUGGAGGAGAGGCUGCUGCAGUAUCUGCACCAACUGGAAGCUGCACAACCUGCAGACACGUACGUGGAUAGGAUCAUGAAGAAAAACAGUCCCGUGACUGAGGACGAGAAGCUGCUUCUGGAUGUAAUAACGUCUGACUGCACCGAGAUAACAGCAACACUGAAGAACCUGCUACACUGUGAUGCUACUUCCUGUCAUUCGGUAACUCAGGGCAACGCAGAAAUGUCCCCGCUGUCAAAGUCUGAAGUGGCUACGAAACCGUCCGAUGUUGAAUCGGUGGGCUUUAGCGGAGACGAGGACCGUCCUUCAGCCACAUCAGCGCUGGGUGACCAGCAUCCUGCAGGAGUGUCAGGACGACGGCCCCAAGGCCAACGUCUCUUCCUCCUCCUCUCCACUGCUGUUCUCAUCGGCUUCAUCAGCAUCGUCACAGGAUCUCACCCCAUCCGGCCUCGUCCCCUCACUCACUGCCCUCCCCCCGCAGACUGA